AACGCGAAGAACCUUACCAGGGCUUGACAUGCACGGUGCCGCCGCAGAGAUGCGGCUUCCUUUGGGGUCGUGCACAGGUGGUGCAUGGUUGUCGUCAGCUCGUGUCGUGAGAUGUUGGGUUAAGUCCCGCAACGAGCGCAACCCUCGUCCUGUAUUGCCAGCAACAUCCUUCGGGGUGGUUGGGGACUUGCGGGAGACUGCCGGGGUCAACUCGGAGGAAGGUGGGGACGACGUCAAAUCAUCAUGCCCCUUAUGUCCUGGGCUGCACGCAUGCUACAAUGGCCGGUACAGAGGGCUGCGAUGCCGUGAGGCGGAGCGAAUCCCGGAAAGCCGGUCUCAGUUCGGAUCGGGGUCUGCAACUCGACCCCGUGAAGUCGGAGUCGCUAGUAAUCGCAGAUCAGCAACGCUGCGGUGAAUACGUUCCCGGGCCUUGUACACACCGUAGAGAC
rnacentral:rRNA from 1 species